AAUAUUGGACAAUGGGCGAAAGCCUGAUCCAGCCAUGCCGCGUGUGUGAAGAAGGUAUUCUGAUUGUAAAGCACUUGACGUUGGGAGGAAGGUGAGUAAGUUAAUACCUGGCUGAUUUGACGUUACCGACAGAAUAAGCAUCGACUAACUUCGUGCGUGCAGCCGGGGUAAUACGAAGGGUCCAAGCUUUAAUCGGAAUUACUGGGCGUAAAGCGCACGUAGGUGGUUUGUUAAGUUGGAAGUGAAAGCCCCGGGCUCAACCUGGGAACUGCUUUCAAAACUGGCAAGCUAGGGUAUGGCAGAGGGUGGUGGAAUUUCCUGUGUAGCGGUGAAAUGCGUAGAUAUAGGAAGGAACACCAGUGGCGAAGGCGACCACCUGGGCUAAUACUGACGCUCAGACACGAAAGCGUGGGGAGCAAACAGG
rnacentral:rRNA from 1 species